rnacentral:rRNA from 1 species
AUCUAUGGCCAUACCACCCUGGACGCCCCCGGUCUCGUCUGAUCUCGGAAGCUAAGCAGGGUCAGGCCCAGUGUACUUGGAUGGGAGACCGUAUGUAACGUAGCACUAACGUGGGCGUGGUGG